GCUGCUGCUCUUGACCUCUGCUCUGCGGCUGUUUUCCAUUGGAGUAGAGGCUCCUCCUGUCCUGUCCUGCCUGUGGAGGGAAGCAAACCUUCCCCUGGACCAGAGAGAGGAGAAAGCGGAGACAGGUAGCAACGCUGUGGACUGGUGAUGACAGGCUCUUCAGCUCCCUGCAAGUGACCGGGCCUGGGGAACAGGGCAUGGCACAGAUGGAGGUGGUGGUGCCAGGAAGAAAUGGAGCGAUGACUGACUGUGGGGUGGGCCCAGGAUUUCCACAUCUUGGUGAAGUUGCCCCUGGGAAGGGCAGCUGGGGGCAGUGGCGCCAGUUCCCUUCCAUGGUCUCCCGGCUGGCAAUGUGGUGAAGCUGAGUUUCUGUCCAAUGAGCAGGAAGAUUCUGAGACAUUUCGCCUGAGAUAUAAGUUGUACUGCGUAUGCAGUUUUUCCUCCAAAAAUUAAAUUGCUUUUGACA
rnacentral:lncRNA from 1 species